CAGAGAGCAACAGAGAGCACUGGUGUCCUCCAAUCCUCCACACUCUGCUUCCGUCUGAACGCUCCAAGUGCAGAGUCUCCUAGGUCCAAACCAAAGGAAGAUGGCAUACUUCCCAAGACAUGCAAGUGGGGACACGCUUCGUCAUCAGCACCCAUCCUUGCUCUCUCAAGAGCUGUGCUAAGAGCAGUGAGAUACUCUUCUAAAGGCAAUCGCUAGUGAGCGCCUGUUAUGGGCAUAUGACUUGGACACAGACGGCGAAAAGGACCCAAGGAAGGAAAAGAUGACAAAAUUCAAGCAAGGAAAAACCAAGAGACACGCCCACAUCCACACCACUCAUGAGUUUAAAGCGAGGAAGGAUUCAUUCCAGAUCUACUCUAUAAUAAUAAAGCUUUGGUUGAUGAUACAGAAGAGAUUUUUAAGAGAAGGUGAAGUGACUCAUUUGGGACAAAUCCAGUGGGUCCUCAAACAUGAAAGAUGAUGAGAACUGUUGUGAAGCUCGAUAAAGAACAUUCCUAUGAAAUCAGUUGGCACAGUACCUGGCAAGUAACAAAUGCUCUGUACCUAUUAGCUGAAUCCAAAAUUAGGUGUAAAUAAAUUCAUUUCUCAUUACCAUUAUAA